CCUACGGGGGGCUGCAGUAAGGAAUAUUGGUCAAUGGACGCAAGUCUGAACCAGCCAUGCCGCGUGGAGGAUGAAGGUCCUCUGGAUUGUAAACUUCUUUUAUUUGGGAAGAAACUCCCGAUUUCCAUCGGGAUUGACGGUACCAGAUGAAUAAGCACCGGCUAACUCCGUGCCAGCAGCCGCGGUAAUACGGAGGGUGCAAGCGUUAUCCGGAUUCAGUGGGUGUAGAGGGUGCGUAGGGUCGCAGGUAAAAUCUCCGGGCUUAACCCGGGAACGGCCAUUGAUACUAUUUGUCUUGAAUACUCUGGGGGUGAGCGGAAUAUGUCAUGUAGCGGUGAAAUGCUUAGAUAUGACAUAGAACACCCAUUGCGAAGGCAGCUCACUACGGAAAUAUUGACGCUGAGGCACGAAAGCGUGGGGAUCAAACAGGAUUAGAUACCCGUGUAGUC
rnacentral:rRNA from 1 species